rnacentral:ncRNA from 2 species
AUAGAUAUCUGAUAUGUGGACCAUGUGUCCACAAUGAUAUUAAAUUUAUUUUUUGUGAGGGAGGGAUCAUCACAAUGGCUUGCCAUUGGGUCCCUUAGGUGUCGCCUGGGCGUUGCACUACAGCCCAGGCAGGCGCACCCCAA